rnacentral:tRNA from 1 species
GGCUCAAUGGUCUAGUCGUAUGAUUGUCGCUUCGGGAAUAUCUCCCAUCUCCGAGAACGAGGUUGUGACAGGUCCCGGGUUCAAAUCCCGGUUGAGCCC